rnacentral:rRNA from 1 species
ACGGAGGGUGCGAGCGUUGUUCGGAAUCAUUGGGCGUAAAGGGCGUGUAGGUGGUCUGUUAAGUCAUGUGUGAAAGCCCUCAGCUUAACUGGGGAAGUGCGCAUGAAACUGACAGGCUAGAGUACCGAAGAGGAAGGUGGAAUUCCGGGUGUAGCGGUGGAACGCGUAGAGAUCCGGAAGAACACCGGUGGCGAAGGCGGCCCGCUGGGCAGGAAGACGGAGCAAUCCGUCGUCUGACGCUGAGGCGCGACAGCGUGGGGAGCAAACAGGA